UGAAAUAUUGGGUGGACGAUAAAAGAAAUCGUGUGAUUGUAGCAGAAGCAAGUGGGGACUUCGUAGAUGUUCUCUUCAGUUUCCUUAGCCUUCCAUUGGGAACUAUCAUCCGCCUUUUGGACACCUUGGACCAUGUAGAGCGUGUGAACACCUCUGAAAAACAGGGGCCUGACAACGGCUCUGAACAACAAGAAGGGCGCAACAACGCCUCUGAACAACUAGAAGGGGGCGUCAACGGCUCUGAGCAACUAGAAGCUCGCUCUGAACAACAAGAAGGACGUCAGAACACCUCUGAACAACAACAAAGGCGUGACAACACCUCUAAACAACAAGAAGGAACUGGUGGCAUCAAUAAGUUGUGCCAGAGUUUUAAGGAUCGGUUGAGGCUUCGCAACAGAUCUGAACAACAAGCACGACUUGGUUGCAUCAACGAGCUGUACAAGAGUGUUCAUAGUUUGGAGACUGAUGUUUUCAGGAACAAGAUCUGCCAGAAAAUGUUGCAUUCUCCGCG
rnacentral:lncRNA from 1 species